AUCGAGAGGUGGGCUGGACGUAUCACAAGUGCGAAUGCUGACAUAAGUAACGAUAAAACGGGUGAAAAACCCGUUCGCCGGAAGACCAAGGGUUCCUGUCCAACGUUAAUCGGGGCAGGGUGAGUCGGCUCCUAAGGCGAGGCUGAAAAGCGUAGUCGAUGGGAAACAGGUUAAUAUUCCUGUACUUGGUAAAGCUGCGAUGUGGGGACGGAGUAGGUUAGGUUAUCGCACUGUUGGAUAUGUGCGUUUAAGUUGGUAGGUGGGAAGUUUAGGCAAAUCCGGACUUCCUUAACACAGAGAGAUGAUGACGAGGCUCUACGGAGCUGAAGUAACUGAUACCACACUUCCAGGAAAAGCCACUAAGCGAAAGGCUUUACUAAACCGUACUGAAAACCGACACAGGUGGUCAGGUAGAGAAUACUCAGGCGCUUGAGAGAACUCGGGUGAAGGAACUAGGCAAAAUAGCACCGUAACUUCGGGAGAAGGUGUGCCGGCGUAGAUUGUAGUCCCUAGCGGGCGAAGGUUGAACCGGUCGAAGAUACCAGCUGGCUGCAACUGUUUAUUAAAAACACAGCACUCUGCAAACACGAAAGUGGACGUAUAGGGUGUGAUGCCUGCCCGGUGCUGGAAGGUUAAUUGAUGGUGUCAUCGCAAGAGAAGCACCUGAUCGAAGCCCCAGUAAACGGCGGCCGUAACUAUAACGGUCCUAAGGUAGCGAAAUUCCUUGUCGGGUAAGUUCCGACCUGCACGAAUGGCAUAAUGAUGGCCAGGCUGUCUCCACCCGAGACUCAGUGAAAUUGAAAUCGCCGUGAAGAUGCGGUGUACCCGCGGCUAGACGGAAAGACCCCGUGAACCUUUACUAUAGCUUGACACUGAACAUUGAAUUUUGAUGUGUAGGAUAGGUGGGAGCCUUUGAAGCAGUGACGCCAGUCAUUGUGGAGGCGACCUUGAAAUACCACCCUUUAACGUUUGAUGUUCUAACGAAGAUGACGAAACGUGUUCUCGGACAGUGUCUGGUGGGUAGUUUGACUGGGGCGGUCUCCUCCCAAAGCGUAACGGAGGAGCACGAAGGUUUGCUAAUCACGGUCGGACAUCGUGAGGUUAGUGCAAUGGUAUAAGCAAGCUUAACUGCGAGACAGACAAGUCGAGCAGGUACGAAAGUAGGUCAUAGUGAUCCGGUGGUUCUGAAUGGAAGGGCCAUCGCUCAACGGAUAAAAGGUACUCCGGGGAUAACAGGCUGAUACCGCCCAAGAGUUCAUAUCGACGGCGGUGUUUGGCACCUCGAUGUCGGCUCAUCACAUCCUGGGGCUGAAGUAGGUCCCAAGGGUAUGGCUGUUCGCCAUUUAAAGUGGUACGCGAGCUGGGUUUAGAACGUCGUGAGACAGUUCGGUCCCUAUCUGCCGUGGGCGUUGGAUGAUUGAUUGGGGCUGCUCCUAGUACGAGAGGACCGGAGUGGACGCAUCACUGGUGUUCCAGUUGUCUCGCCAGAGGCAUUGCUGGGUAGCUAAAUGCGGAAGAGAUAAGUGCUGAAAGCAUCUAAGCACGAAACUUGCCAAGAGAUGAGUCAUCCCUGACUUUAAGUCAGUAAGGGUUGUUGU
rnacentral:rRNA from 1 species